rnacentral:piRNA from 1 species
UAAUCAGUAGCUGGGUGAAUUGC